UACUCAACAGGACCGAACCGAGCUGAUGAUGAUGAGGGGUCAGAAUGGCUACAUAGGAGUGACAACUUCAUCAGAGAUUUAUGUUGUGGGCAAGGGAUCGAAGCCCUCGGGUGUGGGAACAACCUGAAUUCACACGAGAUGAAUAUUGUGCAUGCGGGCGGUAACCAAGGUAAAUGCAAUUCCGACGUGUGUUAUGCAUAAUGCAUUUAUUUUUUUCAUGAAGUUAUUGAUGUGAUUGAUGUUGUAGAUGACAAUCUUUCGACCAAAAAGAAUGUUGCUGAGUUAUUUGUUAAUCCACAUGAGAAUUGUGCCGUAAAUGCGGGGGAAAUUGCAGGGCUAUUCACAUAUGGAUCUUUGAAUAACGCUAUUGUUUAUGACCAACCCAUUAUAGAUGAUAAUGGAGCACAACGUACAGGUAUGUAGUUGAAUCAACUACGGCUCUGGCGAUCGUAAUAUAGUGCA